CGGAGUGGACGCAUCACUGGUGUUCGGGUUGUCAUGCCAAUGGCACUGCCCGGUAGCUAAAUGCGGAAGAGAUAAGUGCUGAAAGCAUCUAAGCACGAAACUUGCCCCGAGAUGAGUUCUCCCUGACYCYUURAGRGUCCUGAAGGAACGUUGAAGACGACGACGUUGAUAGGCCGGGUGUGUAAGCGCAGCGAUGCGUUGAGCUAACCGGUACUAAUGAACCGUGAGGCUUAACCUUACAACGCCGAAGMUGUU
rnacentral:rRNA from 1 species